UCUUCCUCUCUCUCCAAUUCAUAGAUUUGUAUUUAUUCACUUUUUAAUAAUUCAUCACAGUCAUUUUUGGUGCUCAAAAUGUCUAUAUUGCAGCCAGCAGACCCCCUUGAAGCUGGCCUCCUUGUGUCUUUUUGUAACAUGCCCAUUAGUCUUUAAGCACUUCUUUGCUUUCUGGUACUAGUAUUCCAGGCAUAAUUUGUACUUUUCCUACUCCAGUCAUGGAAUUCAGCCAUUUCCACAGUAAUCUCUGCUUUUUUCAAAUACCAGUAAGAAAGUAUUUAGAAACUAAGACCUGGAAUUAGGAAAGCUAACUUCUGCCAGGGUAUUGUUGCUUUCAGAGCCUUUCAGUGGACAGAACUAAGAAAUAUAUAUAUAUUUUUUUGUUUGUUUGUUUGUUUGUUUGUUUUGUUUUUGAGACAGGGUCUUGCUCUUGUCGCCCAGGCUGGAGUGCAAUGACCUGAUCUUGGCUCACUGCAACCUCCACCUCCCAGGUUCAAGCGAUUCUCCUGCUUCAGCCUCCUGAGUAGCUGGGAUUACAGGCGUCAGCCACCAUGCCCGGCCAAGAAAUAUGUUUUUUAAAAAACACUUAUAUCAAUAAUUCCAAUUCAAAUUUACAUUACAGGAUUUUUGCUGUUUACUUCUUUUAUUUAUUAUACUGAAAAUCUUGGUUCCUAAUAACAUUAACAUAAUUACUUAUUUUCUUUGUAUUACAAUGUGUAAAAAUGAUUCAAAGUUAUAAUAUUAAAUAUUAAUAU
rnacentral:lncRNA from 1 species